rnacentral:lncRNA from 1 species
UUUUGCCUAUUUAAAUCUACCUCUUUUCCAUACUAAACCCACAAUCAAACGAACACCACUACUAAACCUUUUUCUACUUUCCUCUAUCUUCUACCUACUUCGAACUUCAGCUACCUUCAAACAAUACCAGACAGCCUAACCCAAUACUACCUAAACCCCCUUCGAAAACAUCCCAAAACACCAACACCAUAACGCCCCAUUGCCCCAACACCCCGAAAUGACACAACAACCCAUUUUCAACAAAACGUAGCUGCAAUGAUCGCCAUCCCUAUUUUGUUCAAGAUUGUCAGUUUGUUUUCUAUUGUUGUGGGGUUUGAUUAAGUUCAGUUUCGGUCUUUAGUUGAGCUUCUGUUCGGUUUAUUUACUGAUCGCCGGUGGAUGGUAAGUGGGUUGUGUCGUUCUUGGGUUUCUUUUCUUUUUUCGUUCGUCUGUUGAUGGUUAGUAGGAUGAUAUCUUGUUUAUAUAUGUUACUUCCGGUGAAACUGUACUUCCCUUUUUUUUCCUCUUCGGUUUUUUCCUUAUUCUCGUUGGAAGGCUAAAACGUAUCACUUCUUCAAUGUGCGGAUGGUGAUGUCGGCUACGGGAAUGAACACCAGAAUGGGAAAGCCCCAAUUCCAGUAGGCAGCAACUAUCGUUAUGAAAAUAAAAGAAUUACAAGAUUGGGAGGAAGAAGAAGAAACAAGUCUAAAAAGGUAAACUUGAAACAUAUCUUUAUUUAUUACUGAUUAUAGUAUUUAUACAUUGAUUUACAACUGAAUUAUAACAAAUCAACUGCUCUAAUCUUCUGUAGUUAGUUACACAAAUAAGUAGUUAGUUAACCUUUAUUUAGGUUUAAUACUCCCCCCUUAAAUUGGGGAUGUAAGGUCCUUAAUGCCCAAUUUGACUAAUACUUCACGCAUUUGUGUUUCUCCAACACAUUUAGUGAAUAUGUCAGCUAGCUGAUUCUUUGUUCCAAUAUAUUCUAGAGUUAUUUCCCUUGUUACUAGCUUUUCUCUUGUCAAUGUGUUUAGUCUUCUCAUGGAAGACUGGAUUAUCGGCUAUAUACAUUGCUGAUUUGUUAUCGUACAUGAUUGUAGUUGGCUUUGAUAAUUUGAUGCUCAUUUCUAAAAGUAAUUGUCUUAGCCAGACUACUUCUCCAGUUACUGAUGCCAUAACUUUGUACUUUGCCUCAGUUGAGGAUAGAGAGACUGUUUUCUGCUUCAUUGAUUUCUAUGAUAUUAAACUAUCUCCUAAGAAAACACAAAAACCAGUCAUCACAAUAUGCUUUAAGCUCUAGUGGCUUGUCCCUAUAUAUCAUUACUUCCUGUCCAGGAGAUUGUUUUAAAUAUUUUAGCAGUUUGCACACUGCAUCUAGAUGUAAUUGAGUUGGUUUUUCUAUGAAUUGGCUCAGUGUCCUUACAGUAAAUGUAAUGUCUGGCCUGACAAUGUUUAAGUAUAUUAAUCUUCCAAUUAAUCUCCUAUAGAUAAAUGGAUCAGUUAGAGCUUUAGUCUUAUCAUUUCUCCAGUCAAUACCUCUUUCCAUAGGUAUUUUGGAGAUUUUGGCUCCGAAUAGUCCAUUCUCAUUAAUUAGAUCCAAUAUGUAUUUUCUUUGUGAUAAGAAAAUACCUUGAUCUGAGUGGGCUACUUCAAUUCCUAGGAACUAAUGUAAUCUUCCUAGGUCCUUUAUUUUGAAGUGUUUUUGUAUCUGUUGUUUUAAUGAACUUAUAUCUAAUUCACAACUUCCUGUAAUUAUUAUAUCAUCUAUAUAUAUGAUUAUAUAUGUUAUUUUCUGAUUUCUCUCUCUUAUGAAUAAGGAAUAAUCAGAUUUACAUUGUUUAAAAUCAAAAUUUAUUAGAACACCUCUUAAUUUGCGAAACCAUUGUCUAGAGGCUUGCUUCAACCCAUAAAUUGAUUUUUUUAGUUUACAAACUCUUCACUACAAAAAACCAGCGCAGUUCUGACGGCAAAUUCCGGUGGCCUGUAUAAUGGUUCCUGACGGCCAAGCCGACGACAUUCCAUCGCCGGAAGUGAUGUCGCCGGAAUUGUGAAAUACCGGCGGCUUGGCCGUCGGCAAAAAAAUUUGGAUUCCGAUUUUAACAUAAAUUGUCCCGGCGGCUUAGUCGCCGACUUUUUUUUUUGAAAAUUAUAUCCCGGCGGCCAGGCCGUCGGUUGUUAUUUUUGGAAAAUAAUUUUCCGACGGCCUGGCCGCUGGUCAAUAUUUCCCGGGAAGAAAUUUUUGGCGGCCUAGCCGCUGGUUCAAUUUUGAAAAAAAAAAUGAAAUUAAUAUGAAAUUGAAAAUAAAAAUAAAAUUAAAAAUGAAAUUGAAAUUGAUAUUAAAAUUGAAAUUGAUAUUAAAAUUGAAAUUGAUAUUAAAAUUGAAAUUGAUAUUAAAAUUGAAAUUGAUAUUAAAAUUGAAAUUGAUAUUAAAAUUGAAAUUGAUAUUAAAAUUGAAAUUGAUAUUAAAAUUGAAAUUGAUAUUAAAAUUGAAAUUGAAUUCGAAAUUUAAUAAUUAAUGUAGAACAGAAAUUAACUUCGACAGUCACUAAUUUAACUUCUUUUUUUCGCUCUUUUUCUUCUUUUUAGUUCCGACCACCUUUCGUAGCGCCUCUUUCGUGAAUAUUAUCGAUCUUUCUACGCGCGAAGUGGUGUGCUCCUCUUGUGGCGUAGUUUGUAGAGGCGUCGUAGUUUCUUGCGUUGUUGGUAGUUGAGUAGUCGGUGCGGCGGCUCUAGAAGAUGACGCUCCAGGAGUAUAAAUGUUUUGCGCUGCAUCGUUGUUGAACAUUUUCGGAAACUCCGGUAAGCGCAAGUUUGGAUUUUGAGCGAGCAUUGCGGAGUUGUAUUGUUGGAAGAACGCCAUUUGACGAGCCAUAAACUCUUCAUUCUUACGAGCAAUAAACUUUUCAUUCUGACGAGCCAUCGUCUCAGUCUGACGAGCCAUCGCCUCAGUCUGACGAGCAUCGCCUCAGUCUGACGAGCAUCGCCUCAGUCUGACGAGCCAUCGCUCUCUCGACAGCCUCGUUGACCUUAUCUUGAACCUCUGCUUCGGUCAUUGCAUAUUUUCCUUUGUCCAUGCAGAAGUUCCCCACAUUCAUGCGAUGUGUUGUCUUUUUGCUCAAUAAGGAACCAGUUGUUCCUAAUGUUCUUGAUUUUUUCGAGCUUCUACCGAUAAAUUCGGUUAUAGCAAAUUGGAUUAGAGCCUAAUGAAAAAGAAAACAUGAUAAUAAUUAAUGUAAAUAUAACUAUUGAAUUAUAUUGGAA